UGUCUGAUUAGCUAGUUGGUGAGGUAAAGGCUUACCAAGGCUUCGAUCAGUAGCUGGUCUGAGAGGACGACCAGCCACACUGGGACUGAGACACGGCCCAGACUCCUACGGGAGGCAGCAGUGGGGAAUUUUGGACAAUGGGGGAAACCCUGAUCCAGCCAUGCCGCGUGAGUGAAGAAGGCCUUCGGGUUGUAAAGCUCUUUCAGCCGGAACGAAACGGUCACGGUUAAUAACUGUGAUCACUGACGGUACCGGAAGAAGAAGCACCGGCUAACUACGUGCCAGCAGCCGCGGUAAUACGUAGGGUGCGAGCGUUAAUCGGAAUUACUGGGCGUAAAGCGUGCGCAGGCGGUUUUGUAAGUCAGAUGUGAAAUCCCCGGGCUUAACCUGGGAACUGCGUUUGA
rnacentral:rRNA from 1 species